rnacentral:rRNA from 1 species
AAACUUUCAACAACGGAUCUCUUGGUUCUGGCAUCGAUGAAGAACGCAGCGAAAUGCGAUAAGUAACGUGAAUUGCAGAAUCCAGUGAAUCAUCGAAUCUUUGAACGCACAUUGCGCCCCUUGGUAUUCCGAGGGGCAUGCCUGUUCGAGCGUCAUUA